rnacentral:rRNA from 1 species
CGUUAGCGGCGGACGGGUGAGUAACACGUGGGUAACCUACCUAUAAGACUGGGAUAACUUCGGGAAACCGGAGCUAAUACCGGAUAAUAUUUCGAACCGCAUGGUUCGAUAGUGAAAGAUGGUUUUGCUAUCACUUAUAGAUGGACCCGCGCCGUAUUAGCUAGUUGGUAAGGUAACGGCUUACCAAGGCGACGAUACGUAGCCGACCUGAGAGGGUGAUCGGCCACACUGAACUGAGACACGGUCCAGACUCCUACGGGAGGCAGCAGCA